rnacentral:rRNA from 1 species
AGUGAACGCUGGCGGCAGGCCUAAUACAUGCAAGUCGAACGGCAGCACAGCAGAGCUUGCUCUGUGGGUGGCGAGUGGCGGACGGGUGAGGAAUACAUGGGAAUCUGCCCAGUCGUGGGGGAUAACGUAUGGAAACGUACGCUAAUACCGCAUGCGCCCUAAGGGGGAAAGCCGGGGACCGCAAGGCCUGGCGCGAUUGGAUGAGCCCAUGUUCGAUUAGCUAGUUGGCGGGGUAAAGGCCCACCAAGGCGACGAUCGAUAGCUGGUCUGAGAGGAUGAUCAGCCACACUGGAACUGAGACACGGUCCAGACUCCUACGGGAGGCAGCAGUAGGGAAUAUUGGACAAUGGGGGCAACCCUGAUCCAGCCAUGCCGCGUGAGUGAAGAAGGCCCUCGGGUUGUAAAGCUCUUUUGUCCGGAAAGAAAGCAAUCGGUUAAUACCCGGUUGUCCCGACGGUACCGGAAGAAUAAGCACCGGCUAACUUCGUGCCAGC